AGUGAACGCUGGCGGUAGGCCUAACACAUGCCAGUCGAACGGCAGCACAGUAAGAGCUUGCUCUUACGGGUGGCGAGUGGCGGACGGGUGAGGAAUACAUCGGAAUCUACUUUUUCGUGGGGGAUAACGUAGGGAAACUUACGCUAAUACCGCAUACGAUCUACGGGUGAAAGCAGGGGAUCUUCGGACCUUGCGCGAUUGAAUGAGCCGAUGUCGGAUUAGCUAGUUGGCGGGGUAAAGGCCCACCAAGGCGACGAUCCGUAGCUGGUCUGAGAGGAUGAUCAGCCACACUGGAACUGAGACACGGUCCAGACUCCUACGGGAGGCAGCAGUGGGGAAUAUUGGACAAUGGGCGCAAGCCUGAUCCAGCCAUACCGCGUGGGUGAAGAAGGCCUUCGGGUUGUAAAGCCCUUUUGUUGGGAAAGAAAAGCAGCAGGUUAAUACCCCGCUGUUCUGACGGUACCCAAAGAAUAAGCACCGGCUAACUUCGUG
rnacentral:rRNA from 1 species